AAUUGAAUGUUGAAAGUUGAAAUUGGAAGAGAUUCAGAACCAUGUAAAGGUUUUGUAGAGAGAUAAAGAUGUUGAAAUUGAAUUGGGAUUUGGGUUUUUUGUUGGAUUGUUUGUUUUAGGGUUUCAAGGGUUGUGGAAUUUGGGUUUGGGUUUAAAUUUUAAGGAAAAGAAAUACUGUUACUAAACUGUAAAGUGUAUUGUGUGGUCUGAUCAGAGCGCCGCCUGAGCGGUUGAGGCGGUCUCCAGAAAUCUGAGCGCCUGGCGCUUCGCUCCGCCCUUGACAGCAUAG
rnacentral:lncRNA from 1 species